rnacentral:rRNA from 1 species
GCAUAUCAAUAAGCGGAGGAAAAGAAACUAACAAGGAUUCCCCUAGUAACGGCGAGUGAAGCGGGAAGAGCACAAAUUUAAAAUCUACCUGGUCUUCAGGUCGAGUUGUAAUUUGAAGAUACGUUUUUGACGUUCUGGGUUGGACUAAAUCCUUUGGGAUAAGGUAUCAUAGAGGGUGAGAAUCCCGUAUAUACCAACCGUAGGGAUGUUAUUAAAUACGUUUCUAAGAGUCGAGUUGUUUGGGAAUGCAGCUCUAAAUGGGUGGUAAAUUUCACCUAAUGCUAAAUAUAAGCGAGAGACCGAUAGCGAACAAGUACAGUGAUGGAAAGAUGAAAAGAACUUUGAAAAGAGAGUUAAAUAGUACGUGAAAUUGUUGAAAGGGAAACGAUUGAAGUCAGUCAUGCCGGUGAGAAUCAACUUAGGGGAAACUCUGGGUGCACUUCUUCGCUUGGCAGGUCAACGUCGAUUUUGAAUGUCAUAAAAUAAUUGGGGGAAGGUAGCUCCUUCGGGAGUGUUAUAGCCCUUGAUAGAUGUGAUGUUUGAGGUCGAGGAUUGCAACGGAUACCCUUUGGGGCUAGCUGCCUGAUCUCUAAUUGGUGUUGGGUUACGGAUAGCAUGCUGGCCGUGAUCUAAUUACUGGUUAAAAGGUUAGAGCGUGCAUAAAUUCUUAAGGACGUUGACGUAAUGGCUUUAAACGAC